GAUGAACGCUGGCGGCGUGCCUAAUACAUGCAAGUCGAGCGAACGGACGAGAAGCUUGCUUCUCUGAUGUUAGCGGCGGACGGGUGAGUAACACGUGGAUAACCUACCUAUAAGACUGGGAUAACUUCGGGAAACCGUAGCUAAUACCGGAUAAUAUUUUGAACCGCAUGGUUCAAAAGUGAAAGUCGGUCUUGCUGUCACUUAUAGAUGGAUCCGCGCUGCAUUAGCUAGUUGGUAAGGUAACGGCUUACCAAGGCAACGAUGCAUAGCCGACCUGAGAGGGUGAUCGGCCACACUGGAACUGAGACACGGUCCAGACUCCUACGGGAGGCAGCAGUAGGGAAUCUUCCGCAAUGGGCGAAAGCCUGACGGAGCAACGCCGCGUGAGUGAUGAAGGUCUUCGGAUCGUAAAACUCUGUUAUUAGGGAAGAACAUAUGUGUAAGUAACUGUGCACAUCUUGACGGUACCUAAUCAGAAAGCCACGGCUAACUACGUG
rnacentral:rRNA from 1 species